CCUACGGGUGGCAGCAGUGAGGAAUAUUGGUCAAUGGCCGAGAGGCUGAACCAGCCAAGUCGCGUGAGGGAAGACGGCCCUACGGGUUGUAAACCUCUUUUGUCGGGGAGCAAAGCGAGUCACGUGUGACUCAUUGAGAGUACCCGAAGAAAAAGCAUCGGCUAACUACGUGCCAGCAGCCGCGGUAAUACGUAGGAGGCGAGCGUUAUCCGGAAUGACUGGGCGUAAAGGGUGCGUAGGUGGUUUGGCAAGUUAGUAGCGUAACUCCAAGGCUCAACCUUGGAACUACUACUAAAACUGUUGGACGUGAGUGCAGGAGGGGCAACCGGAAUUCCUAGUGUAGCGGUGGAAUGCGUAGAUAUUAGGAGGAACACCAGUGGCGAAGGCGGGUUGCUAGACUGUAACUGACACUGAGGCACGAAAGCGUGGGGAGCAAACAGGAUUAGAUACCCCUGUAGUC
rnacentral:rRNA from 1 species